GAGCAAAUGUUUGAUGAAUGAAUGAAUGAAUGCCUCCCUCCCUCGCGGAGCUCAGAGGAGUUUUACGGAAGUGCAAGCGCUUUGUAAGCUGCGUAGCAUUGUAAAGAUGAGAGUUGUAACACAUCCCUCUCCCCCCGUCCCCCUCCCCGCAAGGAAAUAGGGGUGCGGCUUGAGUGAGGAGUCACAACCUGAGUAUUUAGUGAAAAAAGAGGCGAAUUGCUGGGACGAGGGAAGGGAGCCAUCCUCCCGGAGAUUGUGGAAGGAUUUUUGACUCUUUCAGGAGGAGAAUUUAGCAGUGCCUCCCUUUCAGGAAUCAUUCUUGCUUGUGGUUUGGAGCUUUGGAGAGCUGGUAUUGGUUGUUAAUCAGUGUCCCUUACCGUCAUCAAGAAAUUUUGGCCUGUGUUUCAGGUCUGACUCAAAGGCUAUUUCCUUUCUAAAAUAAAUAUCAUUACCAUUUAGGCAGGUCUUCCUACGGGUGUUAUCCUGGAAAGUAAAUCAAAGUAAAAAACUCAUGAGGUUGAAAGAGUAGUUCUCUAGGACAAGAAAUUUUAAGAUAAAAGGAUUUCAGAAUCCUCAGAAAUCUGUCUUGAACCUGUCCUGGUGAAUAGUGUGAGAACGAGAUAAAAGCAGCAGUGAUGAAAGGAAGCAGAUUCCACAGUUGGGUCUCCGGACUCUGGCGUUCCUUACCUCGUCUGGAAGCAGCAGUAGUGGCUGUUACAGGUCUUUCCACCUCAGGGGGUGAGGAGCAAGUGUUUAUAGGCAGAUCUGGGGAGCUCAGAGUUCCUGCCGCUACUGCCACCACCAUAUGCAAAUAGGCCAAGGAAACUUGUAACUGGGUAAAAUCCAAGGCCUCAUUUUUAUUAAAAUGCUGCAGUAAAAGUGAUGGGAGGAGGGAGAUGGAUAUUGCCAAAGCAAGAAGAGACUCACAAAGUAGCAUCUGCCCAGCUGCCCUUCAUCCAAAGUUCUAAGAGCCAGGUUAACUCUCCUACUUUUCAGCUACGCUGGAUUCGACUCUCUUCUCAUGACCAGUCCUUGCCAGGUCCUUCCAAAUAAGACUCACAGGAAAUCAAACCAGAAAGUGAUGGCCUCACAUGGCUACAAAAUAAAUCUCUUUGGAUUUUGCUCCUCUUCCUAAUUUUUUGAUGAAAAUGGCAGGAGUGAAAUACACAGAUUGAGGGGAUUUUGUAAAGCCAAGCACCUCAGAUUUUAGGUUCUGAGAGCUUUGGAUGAAAAGAAUGCAAACAUCAGAGCUCUGCACCCCAGCAGAGGACGCCUCCAGAAAAGUGUGUAACCACGUGGAGCUUUUCAGCAGCCUGAUCUGUUUUCGUUGUCAGUGGCUCCACCAGAGAACUUUGGUGCUGAGAGGCAGAAUGGCACUCAGCCACCUACUGAUGAAGUUACAGCUGCACUAGCUUACUAGGCAAGAUCCACCCACUUCACCCAGUAUGAUAACUGGAGGAAACAGCUGGAAGUGGUGACGGCAGAGAAGGAAGUUCAUACAUUUCCAACUUGGUCUGCAUCUCUUUAGUUCUUUUACUUCUUAUUAAUCCAGAGGAGAAAACAGCUGGUUCAUUCGCAAUUCCAAAAAAAAUCCGAAGUUUUAGGUAACAGCGUUCUUUGCCUGGUACAUCAGUUUGUAUGAUAAAGAUCUGCAUACUAUGUUAAAAUGUAACAAUGGGAUAUUUGUAUAAGGUUCUUUUCUGCUACACUUGAAAGUGAGCUCGUCUGAGAAACUAUUUUAUCAGUUUUAUUAUCCCACAUCGGUAGCUCUUGCUGUCAAAGAUUUCAUAAGCUAAAUUUUCUAGCAAAAUUUCUUUCUAGAAAUUCCAUCUACAAUAUUCAGUUACUUUUAGCGGUUUUAUUGUGACAUAUGCAUUAAAAUGCUUACAUCAGUUAUUCAGUGUAGUGAGUAAUUGUAAAAGAAACCUCCAUGUAACCAACCAGGUCAAGAACUGGAAUACUGCCAGCACCCCAGAAGUCCCCCGGUGACCUUCCUGAACACAACUCUUUCCCUCCCUUUUAGAGUUCUUUGUUUAGAGUCAGUGAUAUUAUAAGACUGGAAGAAGACCCAGAGAAAUUAAAUGACUUACCCAGGGUCAGAAGAGCAAGUAAAAAGGAAGCCUGGACUUGGCCCCAAGUCUUCAAAAUAGAGUAUGCUAGCUGUUAUAUCACACUGGCCCUCAGGCUCCUGGAGCAGUAAGGUAAAUUAAUUCUCCUGGUCUAUAGAGUAUUUUUCACUUCCACAUGGCAAACCUCUUAUUCUACCGUUGGAUAAGGUUACUUUAUUUUAAGCCUAACAGCUUUAGGAUCAGAUUAAGAUUGGUCUAAAUAAAAAUAAAAGAAUAAAAUUUUUAGAGAUUAAUAUAAAUAAUAGUGCUAAAAAGGGGUUACAUGGAAACCUGCUUUUUAAAAAGAAGUUUUCUCCACUCUUGCCUUCAUCCCUUAUAGCCAGUCUGUCACUAGGCCCCAUCGCCUCUCCAGAGAAUUACCAUACUUCCUCAACAUCUGAAAAAAGAACUGAAAGAAAGCAGUGGUUGGUAGUGUCAAAAUGAUGCAGCAAACGCCCUCGGAUUUGGUGAUCAGCUCCCUAAUAAUAUCAUAAUGCUGUUAAAAAUGUUGAAAGAUAUCAGAACUUAAAGACAUUUUUAAAUACAAGAACAAAUCAAUCUAGAAAACUUAUCAACUGUUUGAUAAGAUUGUCCCUGUAUGGCCUUUAUCAUCAUCUAGGUUUGCAUAAAGAUUGAUUCUAAAAAUGAAUGAUAGAUGACUACUAGUUUUAAUGGAAAAUAAAUUAAUAAAAUAAUUUUGAAAUAA